UACAGGACGGGAAAGUAUAUGUUGCCAAGAGGUAAACAACACUGAUCCAUGGCGAUCAUAUUUGCAUCACACAACAGGAAGAGUUUGCCACAGUAUGUACAAACGAAGCUGUCUUAAAAACAGCUAUGGUCGUGUACACACAUGACAUUGGACCUAUGCCUGAGAGUGAAGAAAACGAAGCAUUACGCUACACGGCGUACCGACAGUGGCACGGCUUGGGUGGACGGCUUGGUUGCAUUGUCAUUGUCGGAUUCUUCAUUUUCGCUUAACUCAUUUGAACAUUGAGAGUCUGAUCCAUUGUAGCUAUUGCUCAUCGUCGACGUGCUUUCUGUAUCAGACCAUACAGCGCUAUCCUCAAAAUGUUCAAUUUCACAUGACGUCGUCUGUGUGCUGUGAUUUUUUGUUGAAAUGAACUCAACCUCCGUACCUUAGCAUAAAAUUAUCGUAUUGAUUUUUCACAAAAAUCAAAACGGCCGGAAUGGAAAGUCUAUACCUCUACUUAUCACAUUUGGCACUUUUGUUUGAGUGGUUCUUGACCUUACGUGUUUUUGCGGACGGAUUGUUAUGGCUGCUUGGCAUUUCACAUUGCGCUUCUAAGGUAAAACGCACAAACAUUUCGAGCCGAUGUCGACACAUCGUG